rnacentral:rRNA from 1 species
AGUGAACGCUGGCGGCAGGCCUAAUACAUGCAAGUCGAACGGACGGAUAGUAAGAUUUCGCCCCUACGGUUGGCGACUGGCGGACGGGUGACACGUACAUAACCUUCUAAUUUUACUGGGGUAACUUCGGGGAGCAACUGACGCUACUGGCUCAUAUAUUCAACGGGAUGAUUCAGUAGUGCUUGACGCUUUUCCCGUCUCAUAUAGCUGAAUCCGUGCCGCAUUAGCUAGUUGGUAAGGUAACGGCUUACCAAGGCGACGAUGCGUAGCCGACCUGAGAGGGUGAUCAGCCACACUGGAACUGAGACACGGUCCAGACUCCUACGGGAGGCAGCAGUGGGGAAUAUUCCACAAUGGGCGAAAGCCUGAUGCAGCAACGCCGCGUGAGUGAUGAAGGUCUUCGGAUCGUAAAACUCUGUUAUUAGGGAAGAAAAAAAGUGUAUGUAUCUACCGACGUUUUGACGGUACCCAAACAGAAAGCACCGGCUAACUUCGUG